rnacentral:tRNA from 1 species
GGGCAGGUACCCAAGUGGCCAAAGGGAGCGGUCUGUAAAAUCGCUGGCUCAGCCUUCGGAGGUUCGAAUCCUUCCCUGCCCA